UUCAGUGCUUUACCUUGACAUAUACCAAAAUCAGAAAGAUACAAAGAUUAGCCUAGCCCCUGUGCAAGGAUGAUGCACAAAUUUGUAAAUCAUUUUGUAUUUUU